rnacentral:rRNA from 1 species
UGGGGAAUAUUGGACAAUGGGCGAAAGCCUGAUCCAGCCAUGCCGCGUGUGUGAAGAAGGUCUUCGGAUUGUAAAGCACUUUAAGUUGGGAGGAAGGGCAGUAAGCGAAUACCUUGCUGUUUUGACGUUACCGACAGAAUAAGCACCGGCUAACUCUGUGCCAGCAGCCGCGGUAAUACAGAGGGUGCAAGCGUUAAUCGGAAUUACUGGGCGUAAAGCGCGCGUAGGUGGUUCGUUAAGUUGAAUGUGAAAGCCCCGGGCUCAACCUGGGAACUGCAUCCAAAACUGGCGAGCUAGAGUAGGGCAGAGGGUGGUAGAAUUUCCUGUGUAGCGGUGAAAUGCGUAGAUAUAGGAAGGAACACCAGUGGCGAAGGCGACCACCUGGGCUCAUACUGACACUGAAGUGCGAAAGCGUGGGGAGCAAACAGG